CGUUGGUGGCCAGGCUGCCAAGAGCAGUUCCACCGGGUUUCACCGUCUGAGACUUCCUUCGGGGCACCCCAGGCAGCAAACCAUGAUGGAGUAUGAGUGGAAACCUGACGAGCAAGGACUUCAGCAAAUCCUGCAGCUGUUGAAGGAGCCCCAGUCCCCAGACACCACCAUCCAGAGAACCGUGCAACAAUUCUAGAAACUGGAACAACUUAAUCAAUAUCCAGACUUUAACAACUACUUGAUUUUUGUUCUUACAAAAUUAAAAUCUGAAGAUGAACCCACAAGGUCAUUGAGUGGUCGCAUCUUGAAGAAUAAUGUGAAAGCACACUUUCAGAACUUCCCAAAUGGUGUAACAGACUUUAUUAAAAGUGAAUGUUUAAAUAAUAUUGGUGGCUCCUCUCCUUUGAUUAGAGCCACUGUUGGUAUUUUGAUCACAACUAUAGCCUCCAAGGGAGAAUUGCAGAAUUGGCAUGACCUCUUACCAAAACUCUGUAGCCUGUUGGAUUCUGAAGAUUACAACACCUGUGAGGGAGCAUUUGGUGCCCUUCAGAAGAUUUGUGAAGAUUCAGCUGAGAUUUUAGAUAGUGAUGUUUUAGAUCGUCCUCUCAACAUUAUGAUUCCCAAAUUUUUACAGUUCUUCAAGCACAGUAGUCCAAAAAUAAGGUCUCAUGCUGUUGCAUGUGUCAAUCAGUUUAUCAUCAGUAGGACUCAAGCUCUGAUGUUGCACAUUGAUUCUUUUAUUGAGAAUCUCUUUGCAUUGGCUGGUGAUGAAGAACCAGAGGUACGGAAAAAUGUGUGCCAAGCACUUGUGAUGUUGCUCGAAGUUCAAAUGGAUCACCUACUCCCUCACAUGCAUAAUAUAGUUGAGUACAUGCUACAGAGGACUCAAGAUCAAGAUGAAAAUAUGGCUUUAGAAGCCUGUGAAUUUUGGCUAACUUUAGCUGAAUAGCCAAUACGCAAAGAUGUACUCGUAAGACAUCUUCCUAAGUUGAUUCCUGUGUUAGUGAAUGGCAUGAAAUACUCAGAUACAGAUAUUAUCCUACUUAAGGGUGAUGUUGAAGAAGACGAAAACGAUUCCUGAUAGUGAACAGGAUAUACGGCCACGUUUUC